CAGCAGCCACGGUAAUACGUAGGGUGCAAGCGUUAAUCGGAAUUACUGGGCGUAAAGCGUGCGCAGGCGGUUUGUUAAGACAGAUGUGAAAUCCCCGGGCUCAACCUGGGAACUGCAUUUGUGACUGGCAAGCUAGAGUAUGGCAGAGGGGGGUGGAAUUCCGCGUGUAGCAGUGAAAUGCGUAGAUAUGCGGAGGAACACCGAUGGCGAAGGCAGCCCCCUGGGCCAAUACUGACGCUCAUGCACGAAAGCGUGGGGAGCAAACAGGAUUAGAUACCCCGGUAGUCCCUGUCUCUUAUAC
rnacentral:rRNA from 1 species